GGAGAGGCACACUGAUAGGCAAUUACCAUAUGAUGAGAUAAUACGUCUACGUCCCAUUUUUCCAUAGAUUUUAUAUACUAAAGGUAAUUUUGUGCUCAUAAAUCUGCGAUUUUUUUGGUGGUUAUAAGUAACGGGAAAGAAGAGUACCACACAGUUCCAUACAAAAGCUACGAGCAAAGCUAAAGACAGAUUCUCUGUUGCAUUGUAUGAAUUCUUUGAGGUUAUCCUUUCUCAGAGAUGAGGAUAGUUGACUUCUUUCAGAUAAAGAAGGCAUGACAUCUUCCAUCAGAUCCCCACCAUGGCUAUAGAGGAACAUCCCUUUAGAGAUACAUAGACCAUGGUUGCAAUAUUUGAUGCCCUCCAAGCCGCGUUCAGCUUGCUACC